AUUGAACGCUGGCGGCAUGCCUUACACAUGCAAGUCGAGCGGCAGCGCGGGGGCAACCCUGGCGGCGAGCGGCGAACGGGUGAGUAAUGCAUCGGAACGUGUCCUCUUGUGGGGGAUAACCAGUCGAAAGACUGGCUAAUACCGCAUGAGCACGAGAGUGGAAAGCGGGGGACCGCAAGGCCUCGCGCGAGAGGAGCGGCCGAUGCCGGAUUAGCUAGUUGGCGGGGUAACGGCCCACCAAGGCGACGAUCCGUAGCUGGUCUGAGAGGACGAACAGCCACACUGGGACUGGGACACGGCCGAGACUCCUACGGGAGGCAGCAGUGGGGAAUUUUGGACAAUGGGGGCAACCCUGAUCCAGCCAUGCCGCGUGUGUGAAGAAGGCCUUCGGGUUGUAAAGCACUUUCGGACGGAACGAAAUCGCGCAGGCGAAUAUCCCGCGUGGAUGACGGUACCGUAAGAAGAAGCACCGGCUAACUACGUGCCAGCCGCCGCCGUAAGAC
rnacentral:rRNA from 1 species